rnacentral:rRNA from 1 species
AGCUCCAAUAGCGUAUAUUAAAGUUGUUGCGGUAAAAAAGCUCGUAGUUGGAUUUCUGUUGAGGACGACCGGUCCGUACCAUGUACGCGCAUCUGGUUCGGCCUCGGCAUCCUCUCGAUAGACGUUUCUGCGCUUGAUUGCGUGGAGCGGAUUUCGGGACUUUUACUUUGAGGAAAUUAGAGUGUUCACGGCAGGCUAUCGCCAGAAUACAUUAGCAUGGAAUAAUACUAUAGGAUCUCGGUUCUAUUUUGUUGGUUUCUAGACCCGGGGUAAUGAUUAAUAGGGACAAUUGGGGGCAUUUGUAUCAACACGUCAGAGGUGGAAUUCUUGGAUUGUGUUGCGACAAACUACUGCGAAAGCAUUUGCCAAGGAUGUUUUCA